UACGAAGGGGGCUAGCGUUGUUCGGAAUUACUGGGCGUAAAGGGCGCGUAGGCGGUCCUGAUCGUCGGAUGUGAAAGGCCUGGGCUCAACCUGGGAAUGGCAUCCGAUACGGCGGGACUGGAGUGUGGGAGAGGUUGGUGGAAUUCCCAGUGUAGAGGUGAAAUUCGUAGAUAUUGGGAAGAACACCAGUGGCGAAGGCGGCGACCUGGACAGAUAUUGACGCUGAGGUGCGAAAGCGUGGGGAGCAAACAGG
rnacentral:rRNA from 1 species